GACGAACGCUGGCGGCGUGCUUAACACAUGCAAGUCGAACGGAAAGGCCUGCUUUCCCUUGUGGAUUGCGGGUACUCGAGUGGCGAACGGGUGAGUAACACGUGAGUGAUCUGCCCCAAACUUGGGUAUAAGCCUGGGAAACUGGGUCUAAUUCCCGAUAGGACUGCAGGGUGGUGCCUGUGGUGGAAAACGAUUUUCUAGUGGUUGGGGAUGGGCUCGCGGCCUAUCAGCUUGUUGGUGGGGUAAUGGCCUACCAAGGCGGCGACGGGUAGCCGGCCUGAGAGGGUGGACGGCCACAUUGGGACUGAGAUACGGCCCAGACUCCUACGGGAGGCAGCAGUGGGGAAUAUUGCACAAUGGGCGGAAGCCUGAUGCAGCGACGCCGCGUGGGGGAUGACGGCCUUCGGGUUGUAAACUCCUUUCGACCGCGAGGAAGCCACCUGGUUGGAAGGGUGGUGACGGUAGUGGUAGAAGAAGCACCGGCUAACUACGUG
rnacentral:rRNA from 1 species